ACGCUCGACACCUACGGGGGCAGCAGUGGGGAAUAUUGCACAAUGGGGGAAACCCUGAUGCAGCGACGCCGCGUGGAGGAAGAAGGUCUUCGGAUUGUAAACUCCUGUUGUUGGGGAAAAAGAGGAUGGUACCCAACAAGGAAGUGACGGCUAACUACGUGCCGNNCGCGGAGUAUNGNGGCGNGCGAGAG
rnacentral:rRNA from 1 species